GACGAACGCUGGCGGCGUGCCUAACACAUGCAAGUCGAACGCAGUGGCGGACGGGUGAGUAACACGUGGGUAACCUGCCCUGCACUUCGGGAUAAGCCUGGGAAACUGGGUCCAAUCCCGGUACGUGUGGGUUGGGCCCGCGGCCUAUCAGCUUGUUGGUGGGGUAAUGGCCUACCAAGGCGGCGACGGGUAGCCGGCCUGAGAGGGUGGACGGCCACAUUGGGACUGAGACGGGGGCCAGAGGCCUACGGGAGGCAGGAGUGGGGAAUAUUGCGCAAUGAGCGGAAGGCUGAUGCAGCGACGCCGGGUGGGGAAUGACGGCCUUCGGGUUGUAAACUCCUUUCACCGUCGACGCGGUAGAUGGAGAAGAAGCACCGGCUAACUACGUGCCAGCAGCCGCGGUAAUUC
rnacentral:rRNA from 1 species